rnacentral:tRNA from 1 species
UAUAAGGCCUUAGCUUAAAUUAAAGUUUCUGUUUUGCAUACAGAAGAUGUGGGUUAAACUCCUGUGGGUCUUA